rnacentral:ncRNA from 1 species
GCCCCAGUGCUGCCAGUCCCUGUGCUGUAAGCCCAUCUGCUGCCGCCCCAGCUGCUGCCAAACCACCUGCUGCAGGACCACCUGCUGCCGUCCCAGCUGCUGUGUGUCCAGCUGCUGCAGGCCCCAGUGCUGCCAGUCCCUGUGCUGUAAGCCCAGCUGCUGCCAAACCACCUGCUGCAGGACCACCUGCUGCCGCCCCAGCUGCUGCUAGGGACCUGCUAUAGAACAAUCUGUUGUUGUUCCACCUGCCAGACCACCUCUUGCUGCUGAGUGUCCUGCUCCAGAUCCAUGAACUUUCAUGACCCUUCCUUUAGUCUAGUUAGAGAGGAUCUAGUCACUGAAGACAUGAACUUCCUGGGGCUAUGGACUUAACAAACAGACCCAUGGAUGAAUUUGCAAAACCCUGGUUUCUAUAUUAGUAUUUUCUCUAUUCUGUAGGUAUAUUUCAUUAUUAUAGCAAAUCAGUAUUUACAGCCAGAUUCUGCAUCAAAUUGCUUUAGUAUUCCUAGUUCUGAUUCAAAAUACAGGAGUCUUCAAAUGUUCUCUUCAUAGAUAUUUUUAUAACAUUUUCAGUAGAAUCCAUUGUCAUGUGGAAUUAUUGCUCAAUGUUGCCAAAUAAAAGUUCUUAGCAUCCAAAUGCACCCAAAUUGGUCAUUUCUCAUUAUUAACAAAAUGUUCCUGUCUCUUUUCUGCACAACACUAGAGCUCAUGUUUUCAGGAGAACACACAAUGGAAACAUUAAAUUGGUCUUCUCCAGUGACAUUGUUAUCAAAACCUGAAUUCACCCCCCAACUUCUAAGAAGGACAAGUGGUGUUAAGCCACCCAAGAUUGAGCAAUAACAGGCCUGUGAUGCCCUUAGAUGUCUGGGGCUUCAAUGACUGGCUCAGCAUGCAGGCACUGGUAACCCGUUGAACCCCAUUCAUGAUGGGGAUCAGGGAUUGCAAUUAUUCCCCAUGAACGAGGAAUUCCCAGUAAGUGCAGGUCAUAAGCUUGCGUUGAUUAAGUCCCUGCCCUUUGUAGACCCUGCCCGUCGCUACUACCAAUUGGAUGGUUUGGUGAGGCCCACGGAUUGGCCCCAGUGAGGUUGGCCCUGGUGGAACGCUGAGAAGAUGAUCAAACUUGACUAUCUAGAGGAAGUAAAAGUCAUGACAAGGUUUCCAUAGAUGAAUCUGAAGAAGGAAAAAUU